rnacentral:rRNA from 1 species
CUUAAACAUGCAAGUCGAACGAUGAAGCCCAUCUUGCUGGGUGGAUUAGUGGCGAACGGGUGAGUAACACGUGAGUAACCUGCCCUUAACUCUGGGAUAAGCCUGGGAAACUGGGUCUAAUACCGGAUAGGAGCGUCCACCGCAUGGUGGGUGUUGGAAAGAUUUAUCGGUUUUGGAUGGACUCGCGGCCUAUCAGCUUGUUGGUGAGGUAAUGGCUCACCAAGGCGACGACGGGUAGCCGGCCUGAGAGGGUGACCGGCCACACUGGGACUGAGACACGGCCCAGACUCCUACGGGAGGCAGCAGUGGGGAAUAUUGCACAAUGGGCGCAAGCCUGAUGCAGCGACGCCGCGUGAGGGAUGACGGCCUUCGGGUUGUAAACCUCUUUCAGUAGGGAAGAAGCGAAAGUGACGGUACCUGCAGAAGAAGCACCGGCUAACUACGUGCCAGCAGCCGCGGUAAUACGUAGGGUGCGAGCGUUAUCCGGAAUUAUUGGGCGUAAAGAGCUCGUAGGCGGUUUGUCGCGUCUGUCGUGAAAGUCCGGGGCUUAACCCCGGAUCUGCGGUGGGUACGGGCAGACUAGAGUGCAGUAGGGGAGACUGGGGGGCUGGUGUAGCGGUGGAAUGCGCAGAUAUCAGGAGGAACACCGAUGGCGAAGGCAGGUCUCUGGGCUGUAACUGACGCUGAGGAGCGAAAGCAUGGGGAGCGAACAGGAUUAGAUACCCUGGUAGUCCAUGCCGUAAACGUUGGGCACUAGGUGUGGGGACCAUUCCACGGUUUCCGCGCCGCAGCUAACGCAUUAAGUGCCCCGCCUGGGGAGUACGGCCGCAAGGCUAAAACUCAAAGGAAUUGACGGGGGCCCGCACAAGCGGCGGAGCAUGCGGAUUAAUUCGAUGCAACGCGAAGAACCUUACCAAGGCUUGACAUGUUCUCGAUCGCCGUAGAGAUACGGUUUCCCCUUUGGGGCGGGUUCACAGGUGGUGCAUGGUUGUCGUCAGCUCGUGUCGUGAGAUGUUGGGUUAAGUCCCGCAACGAGCGCAACCCUCGUUCCAUGUUGCCAGCACGUCGUGGUGGGGACUCAUGGGAGACUGCCGGGGUCAACUCGGAGGAAGGUGAGGACGACGUCAAAUCAUCAUGCCCCUUAUGUCUUGGGCUUCACGCAUGCUACAAUGGCCGGUACAAUGGGUUGCGAUACUGUGAGGUGGAGCUAAUCCCAAAAAGCCGGUCUCAGUUCGGAUUGGGGUCUGCAACUCGACCCCAUGAAGUCGGAGUCGCUAGUAAUCGCAGAUCAGCAACGCUGCGGUGAAUACGUUCCCGGGCCUUGUACACACCGCCCGUCAAGUCACGAAAGUUGGUAACACCCGAAGCCGGUGAGCUCUAACCCUUGUGGGGGGAGCCGUCGAA